AAUAAAGAUAGAGAGAAUAAUUACUCCAUCCAUUUCACAAUGUAAGUCAUUCUAGUAUUUCCCACCUUCAUAUUGAUGUAAGAUUCAUUAACAUCAAUAUGAAUGUGGGAAAUGCUAGAAUGACUUACAUUGUGAAACGG
rnacentral:misc_RNA from 1 species